rnacentral:misc_RNA from 1 species
GUGAGUCAUCGAAUCUUUGAACGCACCUUGCACCCUUUGGUAUUCCAAAGGGUACGCCCGUUUGAGUGUCGUUGUAACCUCACUUCAGAGCAAUCUGAAUGUGGACUUGGGAGUUGCCGUGAAUGGCCCUCCUCAAAAGCCUCAGUGCAAUCCUCGAUGUGCCGUAAAGGUGUGAUAAAUCACUCACCGUGACAAAGGCGCUCGGGUCCCUUGUGCUUCCAACUGUCUCCUGAGACAACUUGAACAUUUGACCUCAAAUCGGGUGGGACUACCCGCUGAACUUAAGCAUAUCAAUAAGCGGAGGA